GCUGACAUGGUGGAAUGGCAGACACUGGGGACUUAAAAUCCCCUGCCGCAAGGCGUGCGGGUUCGACCCCCGCUGUCAGCA
rnacentral:tRNA from 1 species